rnacentral:rRNA from 1 species
CGUUGUACACACCGCCCGCCACACCAUGGGAGCGGGUUCUGCCAGAAGUAGUUAGCCUAACCGCAAGGAGGGCGAUUACCACGGCAGGGUUCGUGACUGGGGUG